rnacentral:sRNA from 1 species
AUUGCACGAAGCGACAAAAGCCCUGCCUCUCUUUUGUCCUUGCGGCUCCAUUGACCGCUCCAGUGUUGCAUUCGUGAAUCCUUAACAG